GACGAAGGGGGCUAGCGUUGUUCGGAAUUACUGGGCGUAAAGGGCGCGUAGGCGGUCCAUUAAGUCAGGCGUGAAAGCCCUGGGCUCAACCUGGGAGUGGCGCUUGAUACUGGCGGACUAGAGAGUGGGAGAGGUUGGUGGAAUUCCCAGUGUAGAGGUGAAAUUCGUAGAUAUUCGCAAGAACACCAGUGGCGAAGGCGGCUCACUGGCCCGAUACUGACGCUGAGGCACGAAAGCGUGGGGAGCAAACAGG
rnacentral:rRNA from 1 species